CUGACAUCCUGCAAGACUUUACCUGCAGACACUAGCGUAAUUUGGUAGCUGUCGCUGCAGCUGGUUGCCACAUUUGUUAGCAAUGGAAAUACCUUCUAAAUUCUUCACGCGUCCCCACCCACAGCCUCCCCUGUCAGAAAACCCUGCCUUGUGUGCUGCCGUGCACCUCGUUGCCUCCCUAUGGGAGCAGCAGCAGGGCAGUCUCUGUCACAUUUGAUUAUGGCCUUGAAGGCAAAGAGCAACAACAUAAUAACCUUAUCAGUAACAGAUGAUUGAGAUCUUCAAAGGGCCCUGCUCUGCCUCUGCGCCUGUUCAUCUGACUGGCCAGGGAUGCGGGCUGAUCAAAGGCCUCCAGAACAUGAUGGCUCAGCAGUGCGGGCUUGAACAGUCCACAGCUUUCUAACACUGACAGGUGUCACAUCUUGGCUUCCUGGGUGGUGCAUUCGGCCUACUGAUCAGGGAGACUCAUUGUUAUUUGAUCUAAAAUGCCCUUGGUGUCAGAUAAAACUGUAGAAGUUCCCGGAUGAAGAAAUGCUCUGCAUAUCCCUGGACCAUUGUAAGAAUUCAAGGAUAAUAAGUGAUUUGCUGCAAGGGUCUUUUCGUGCCUCUGCCCAUCACAUACUGGGAUUGACUCCAUUCCUGCGUGACCAUUAAUCACAACUGAAGUAAUUAUAAGGAGUCUUCACCAAGCUAUGAAGUGGCAGUCUGGAAACAGCUUUGUUGCUCCGGGUUGCAUAUCUAAGAAUAUGCGUGUAUGCUGGUUUCAGAUGUGACUUCUCUUUUCAAAUUAAUUGAUUUAGCAAUAUUUUUACUUAACAACUCCUUAAGGCAUCAAAGGUGUUUGCGAAGGAUGGUUGGCGCAGUUCAGAUGCUUACAGAUUAUUUUGAUAAGGCUGCUAGAUUUGUCAUUUGAUUGCCUGCCCUGUGUUCCCCGUAAUCCCUAUAAUCUGCAGGAAAGGAAAUCCUUUUAUAUUUAAUUAGUAAAUGAGCAUCAGUGUCUGAACCUAGUGAUCGCAUGUAACAUUUAUUUUCUCUGACGUGUCUUUAUACACAUGGCUGCACAUGUAGCCUUGGUGUUUGCUCUCUGCAGUCCACACUCCAGCAAUUCUCUCCUUGCAAAAGCUGGUCUUUGCCAGUGGCUCCAUCUUUCUGUGUCACUACACUUUGAAGACAUAAAGGUUAGCAGGGCGCAACUUGCAUCUAAAAAAACAAAGCCAGAGAUCUUCAGCUGCUCUUCCUCGGUCUAAUGUGUGAACUCACACUGCCUUCCUGUACCAACGCAAGUUAGUAGAUUUAAAACAGCUGCACUUUGCAACUUUAUUAGUGGUGGAUGAUUUGCAAGAGAUAGAUGUUUAAAUUUCAAGCCAUACAUAGCUUUCUGAAGUAAUUUUGUUUAAACAUAUAUUAGCGCUACUCACACUGCAAUGCAGUGCGAAAUUGAAACAGACGGGGUGAGGAUGCCUUAAUAUCUCCACAAGGUCUGGAUGUACUGGUUCACACACACUCGAUCUGUCCACUCUACACUCUUCCUACACAAAUCAUACAAUAAGAUGGGGCACAAACACAAUUGUCAAUAUUUUAUAGUACAUGUAAUACAAAAUAUACUUUUAUAUGUAUAUAUUGUAUUAUUGUAGUGUGAUAUAUCUUCACGACAUGUCGUCAUGAUGUCAGAUGCUAUCUAGAAAAAGAAGCUCACUAAUUUGAUCCCUAAAAAACGGGGAAACAAUUUUCAAAACACAACUACAAUGUUUUCACUUUACUUCUUUAUCAGCUAAUUCUCUUCAUGUGAAAAAAUGGGUCAAUAUAUCUGCUGCACCUGAUAAAGCCCUGCUGUGAAUCCCAGGUUAAGUUUCGCCAUCAAUAAUGUCAUAAUAUAUACACAUUUCAUUCAUUACAAUAUUAACUGAACACUGAAAUAUCAAUUAUAUAUCAAUGUCAAUAAGAUUCAACCAAAUCUUAAACUCCCUGGAAACAAGAAUGUAUGCAUUUUGUGAUAUACUGAAUAUAAUAGACUACAUCUUACUGAGAUUCUGCUUACACUGUUCUCUCACUGUUACACUCUAUUUUAUAUAUCUUAAAGCCUUUGCUGCUAUAACAUGGCAAAGUUACCCAUCAUGGGACAAAUAAAGUCUCAUAUCUUAUGAUUUGGAAAUACAUAGGGGAUACAUGGAAGACUUAUCAUAAUACUAAAUGGAUCUGAAUAAAAGAUGAUGGAUCAAAUGAUUGAUACAGACCACUUAAAGAAAAUAUGGAUUUAUACAUAAUCCCUUCCGAUAUGCUUCAUAUAUUAUCAUACAGAAUAUGAAUUGCACCAAUUCAUGAUGAAUCAUAUAUUGGAUCAUUUACACUCAUUUAAUGUUACAUAGUUGCUAAAGUUUCACAUGAUUGGUGUUCAGGCUAUAUGGCCAUGUCCAUUCAAAUGAUCAAUAACAAUGAGUUAGAAUAAAUAAAGAUAUUGUCAACUAUUACCUAUAUGUAAUAAUAAUAAUAAUACAUUUCAUUUAUAGAGGGAUAAGGAUGAAAAAUAAAAUCAUGACACUUUUCACAGACUGGUGAUUUUAAACAAUAUGAUCAAAAAGUAAACCUCACAUUUAGCAAAGCCUCAGAUGUAUUUCACUGCUGUCUGCCUCUCAGAUGGUCCCUUAAGCAGGCGUCACCGCCCUCCCAUCACCAAGCCCCCUCUGCCACAGUCAUCUAACACGUCAGAGCGCCACAGAUCUGAAGCUGCGAAAAGCAGUUACUGCUCUUCCAUUGCUUGUGCGUCACUGGGGAAUAUCCAGGUCUCAAAUAAUAAAAAAAACAAGAAGAGAUUCAGGCCCUUUGAGAGCCCAUCGACAGUGAGCAUUAACGGUAUUGUGAUUGCAUCAAGCCAAGCCUUCCAUUGAAAUUUAAUUAAUCUUGAUCUGUUGUUGUUGUUGUUGCUUAGUUGUUUACAGUUGCUUUUUGCAUUCAGCACCAUUUAUGAAUGUUUGAUCAGCUUAAUUUGCACACGGAGAUAGCAACAAUGAAUGUAAAUGUGUUUCUCUUUGCAACAUAUUCAUUUCGGAUUUAUUAUUAGAAAUCCACAUAGAAAACUGUCGUGGUAGGUUUGUGUUGUAGAUAUUGUAGGAAUAGUGUUAUUCAGUGACUGUAAAUUUCCACUGUAUUUAGUAAAGUCUGUCAAAGCCCAUUUGAGCUACAUCAACAGUGGGCUAACCUAGCUCAGCACAAAGCCUGGAAAUAACAAAUUAAUAUAGUAAUUCUUACACUUUGGAUUUUAAAUGGAGUGACCAAAUUAAAUUAAAUUGUGCUAAUUAGUUGUUUUUUUUGCUUUUGAGGUACUGGUCGGCAACCUUUCAUUUGGAAAGUAUAUUCAUUUACUAAUCACUCCAUGUGGGUUUUGAUCAAAGUGCUGAAAGUUAGACUUUCUAAGCAUUUCUUCAACUGAAGAUGUCACAUAAUUGUCAUCAUCUACUACCUGUAAACGCCUCAUCGAGCUCUGUUUUCAUUAUGCGAUAAGAAGUUUCCUCAUAUUUUAAACAAUUUACUUAUUUUGUCUUUUGAUUUCUUAUCUCUAUUUAAUUUCCCUCCAACUUCGUAACAGCAAAGUUGGCAUAUUUGAAUGUGGAUUUAAUUCGAUGUAAAAUUAAAUUAUCUUCCACAGAGAAGUUGACUGCCUUGGAUUAAACUGAUUCAUGACUUUAUGACUAUUUGACUUUCCUGUAACAAGAUAAAACAGAGCUAACAAAAAAAAACUAUUACAGUUGCAGCAAUUGGAUUCUAAUCUACAUUCAUGACAUAAUUUUUAAUCUCUGUUACUUAACUUUGGAUUUCAUCACGACUGUUUUGACAGUUCUCAGCUACAGUAAA